GGAUAAGCCAUGCGAGUUGAAUGGGAAACCUAAAAAUCCCAUGGCAAACUGCUCAGUAACACAUGAUCAACUUACCCUAUAGAGGAAAAUAACCUCGGGAAACUGAGGAUAAUGUUCCCUAGUUGAAUCGGCUUGGAAAAGUUUUUCAAUAAAAGGGAUAAGAAAAAUGGUUCUUAUCUGCUAUAGGAUAGGAUCGUGCUCGAUUAUGGUUGUUGGUGAGGUAAAGGCUCACCAAGCCGAUAAUCGAUAGGGGCCGUGAGARCGGGAGCCCCGAGAUGGGUACUGAGACAACGACCCAGGCCUUACGAGGCGCAGCAGGCGCGAAACCUCCGCAAUACACGAAAGUGUGACGGGGUUACCCAAAGUGUUCUAUUUAGAACUGUGGUAGGUGAGUAAUGUUCCCUACUAGAAAGGAGAGGGCAAGGCUGGUGCCAGCCGCCGCGGUAAAACCAGCUCUUCAAGUGGUCGGGAUAAUUAUUGGGCUUAAAGUGUCCGUAGCCGGUUUAGUAAGUUCCUGGUAAAAUCGGGUAGCUUAACUAUCUAUAUGCUAGGAAUACUGCUAUACUAGAGGGCGGGGAGAGGUCUGAGGUACUACAGGGGGUAGGGGKGGAAAUCUUAUAAUCCCUUGUAGGACCACCAGUGGGCGAAGGCGUCAGACUGGAACGCGCCUGACGGUGAGGGACGAAAGCCAGGGGAGCGAACCGGAUUAGAUACCCGGGUAGUCCUGGCCGUAAACGAUGCAUACUAGGUGAUGGCACGGCCAUGAGCCGUGUCAGUGCCGUAGGGAAACCGUUAAGUGUGCCGCCUGGGAAGUACGGUCGCAAGGCUAAAACUU
rnacentral:rRNA from 1 species